rnacentral:rRNA from 1 species
AUGAUCGGUGGACGCGUUGCAUGGGAACUGGAGAGGGCGCCAAUCGCCAUUGGGAGAUCUCGGAGAGGAUCUUUUGGCACUCGACCUGGCAGAAGUACAGAAUUUUGUUGGGCCCCCAAGCCAUUCUUACUGGCAAGAGAAGAGAACCAUGCAUGCAUGAUCAGUUCAUACCUGGUUAAUAUUGAAGCCCAAAGUUAA